AAUGAACGCUGGCGGCAGGCCUAAAACAUGCAAGUCGAACGCCCUAGCAAUAGGGAGUGGCGCACGGGUGAGUAACAUGUGGGAAUAUGCCUUUUGGUACGGAACAACGUUAGGAAACGAACGCUAAUACCGUAUGGUCCCUCCGGGGUAAAGAUUUAUCGCCAAAAGAUUAGCCCGCACUAGAUUAGCUAGUUGGUAAGGUAAUGGCGUACCAAGGUGACGAUCUAUAGCUGUUCUGAGAGGAAGAUCAGCCACACUGGGACUGAGACACGGCCCAGACUCCUACGGGGGGCAGCAGUUAGGAAUAUUGGACAAUGGGCGCAAGCCUGAUCCAGCCAUGCCGCGUGAGUGAUGAAGGCCUUCGGGUUGUAAAGUUCUUUAGCCGACGAAUAUAAUGACUGUAGUCGGAGAAUAAGCCCCGGCUAACUUCGUGCCAGCCGCCGCCGUAACAC
rnacentral:rRNA from 1 species